GCUUACGGCCACACCUCCCUGAGCGCGCCCGAUCUCGUCUGAUCUCGGAAGCUAAGCAGGGUCGAGCCCGUUUAGUACUUGGAUGGGAGACCGCCUGGGAAUACCAGGUGCUGUAAGCC
rnacentral:rRNA from 1 species